rnacentral:lncRNA from 1 species
AGAAAAAUUGAGAAAGUAGAGUUGAGAGAAAUACAAUAAUUACUGUAAAGAAUCAGAUGUCAAAAGAACACUAUUAUUAGUACAGUAGUUACUGUGAACUAAUAAGAUGCGGUAAGUAACAUCUGAGCUUUGUCUCAUAGGCGAACAGAGUGAAUAGCAUUCCGAGUGCUAGAAAAUUAAAGCAGAUCUGUCAUCUGUGUUGUUGGCAAGUGAGCCCACAGAGUGUACAAUAAAAAUGACUUCAAACCUAAUCAUAGCAACAAAGUAAACUUAUUCAUUCUUAACUUUAGAUUUAACGUCGGAUGGGGUGUGUGUUUGGGGGUGGGUUGGGGAGCUAAAUUACCAUGCAUAGCACAGAAAUAAGCAGAAAUUGAAAUAUGCAGGAAAUAGAUUACCUUAGAAAUUAACAGUGUCUUGCUGAGGACAAACUUUGACUGAUUGAUUGAUUGAACGGUUUAGUCAGACCAAUCGUUGCGACGUCACCACGACACCACCACCGGGGAUUCCGUCCGGAACCAACAACGGCAACCAUCAGCGCAAAGCUUCGCCAGUCUUUCAGAUCCGGGAAACUAAAGAAGCAACGACAAGUCGCCGAGCGCGCUGUUUCUCGGUCGGUCACUUCGUUCUUCUCGACCAAUCUAGUAUUCUAGUUGAAAUUCUCGAUCGAUCUUGUUGCUUUGCAUAUGCUGAUAAUGCCCGCCAGCUGCAGGUUUGCUCGCUUUUUGCCGCAACGCCAAAGCAAAGCCCAGCAGGAGGAGCGAGGCUGAUGCGCGGUCGGUGUUGCCCCCCCCCCCCCCCCCCCCCCCUCCCCCCCCAUGGCAGCUUUGCUUCCUGCACAAAGGAAGAAUAAAACAACUAAACAAAAAUGUAAUCAUAAAUAAAGAAAUUUAAGACUGAUUUUUGAAGAGAAGAUAGAUCAGAGGGGAAUCGAGUUACAUACCAGUUUCCAUAUAACUUCUUCUUUGAUGAAGAGUAAACAUAUAUAUCUCCAUAUAUAUAGGGGCAAACAAAUCAAGAGGAUCGAUGAGAUAUCUUUCCAUGGGAGCGGGCCGGCCGGCCGGAAAAACAAAGAUCAAGGGGAGGAACAAGCUCUCUCGCUCCCUCUCCCUCUCCCUCUUUGCUUGAGAGGCAAUAUAUGCAAGGAAACCCUAGAUAUGAUGAGGAAGCUAGCUUCAUUUGGACGAAGAAGCUGAUAAGAAUAAGAAAGAGAUAAGGGUGUGAUGAGGCUGCUGCCUGGCUCUUCAGAGCUUCCAAGAGGCCAUCCACCAGCUUAGUACUAUAUUAGGCAGCUGAGGACGAAGUAGAUUGUGAGUGAGCUAACCCUAAUUACAGCUCUUCUUAACACAGAAGAGGGCGAAAUAAAAGUUAUAAAACUAUUCGUCGAGAUGCGCGCAUCCACUUCGAGAUGCCAUUUGAGGUACACGGCACUGACAGCAAAAUUGAAACACCAGCUGGCGUAUUCGGACCUCUGGCAAUAAUAACGAUGCGCCUUUUGUACAGGUCCACGCAUCAUGUGCGCCCCCCAUCCGUGCAGUGUGGGCGCGGUGGCACGCAUGCAGCAACACCACUCGCGACGUGGCAGACAGCAAUACAGCAUGCCAACAUCAGUGGUCAUUCAUAAGUCAUAACAAGGUCCGACUUCCUCCGUAUAUCGAGAUUUAAAUUUUAAAAACUUUAAUUAAUAAUUAAAAUAAUAUUUUUAACAAUUAUAAUAUUAACUUAUAUAUUAGAUUUACAAAGAAUUGUAUUAUUCAAUGAUUAUAAGGUCAUAAAUAUAAAUAAUAUAAUAUAAAGUAAAUAAAUUGUCAAAGUAUAAUCUACGAGAUCAUGUUGUUCUAACUUAUGCCAGAUAAAAUUAACCAGAGAGAGUAACUAUUAGGUUUUAUUUAUCAUAGUUUAGCUUCACUAUAUAAGCUAUUUUCUUCUUUUUGUAAAAUGAUUUUAUGAACAACUUUUUUUAUUAAAGCUAAGCUAUUUUGGAAUAAGUAUUUAGUAAAACAACUUCACAUAAUAGAAUAAAUACUCCCUCGUCUUGUAAUAUAGUGCAUUACAUUUUUAAUUUGUCCUCAAAUAUAAGACAUUUUAGAAGACAAAAAGCAAUUUUGCAUUAAAUACUUUAUAUUUAUCAACCAAUCACCACUAUCGUGUUGAUGAUAGUGUUUUAUUAGAAAAAAAGUGAGGGCACAUGUGUCCUUUAUGAUCUCUCUUAAACUGUUCUAACAUGUCUAAAAUACACUAUAUUACAGGACUAAGAGGACAUGAGAUGAAGCUAAGAUAAACUACCUUUUCUAGCUUUAUGCCAAUUCAUAUCUUUGUGAGAGGAAAAACAACUUUACGCAUGAAACUGUUUUAGAAAUGAGUGUUUAGCAAAAAAAAACAGCUCACAACAACUCAUAAAAACGUUGUGAGUUGUGCCAAGCAAGCUUAGUUGGUUAGUCCAAUUAAUAAGAUAUAGUACGUUGUUAGCUAGAUAUUAGCUAACAAUUAGCUAAAUUGUUAGUUGAAUUUGUAUAGAUUUAAAGAAGCUAAUUACUAGCAGCUAAUUGUUACCUAUAUUGAUCUAAAUUAAUUAACUAUUCCCAAAUAUGUAAAUAGAUCCCUCCCACACAGCUAAAGAUUAGCUAUGAUAAUAGCUAAUUGUUAGUUUAAUGGUAGGUGAGACAUUAGUUAAUUAUUACCUACAUUACCGUGCUUUGGCAAUGUGCAUUAGAGCAUCUUCAAGAGACUAGAUAAAAUUAUAUUCUCAACUACAAGAUUUAGCCAUUGUGUAAAAUAAAAACUCAUCCAAAGCAUAAAGUUCCACAACAAAAUUUGUAUAGGAUAGCUAGUGGGGACGACAUGUUAUAUAUGACAAGCGAAAGUUUAGAAAUAGCAAACUUGCUAUUUUAGCAAACCAAAUAACACAUCUGUUAGACCUUAAUUUUGCUUUGAAAAUGUAAAAAUAGUCUAAAUAACAUUGAUAGCAUAUUUGUUGAAGUUGCUCUUAUUGGCAACAGCUACAUUACAUCCCUCAUGAUCGGAAGAGAGUAACAGUUGCAAUAUAUCCAUUUUUCAUCACCUAAUAACCAAUAAAAUAACACGAUGUCACAUCUGAUAUACACAGGGAAAACAGAUUUGGAGUGCGAUCGAAUAACACCGUACCUCGAAAGCAAUAUUCUGAUAUCCACAUAUACAAAAGUCGAUCCAAAUGGAUUGUUCAUGGACCCUUGUGUCUGGAUUGCAGCUCGGCCACAAUCAUCGAGGAUCUCCUCAUACAGUAAAAACAAGGGUUGUUUAAAGGACAGAAAAAAAAAGGCAUAAAAGCAUGCAGGCAUAUUGGCAUUUGGCACUCGAGGCAUUGCUCCAUAGACCUUUAAUUCUUCAAACGAAGGCGUUGUUUAGGUCACAACGUUUUUGAAUUUUGACAUUGUAGUACUUUCGUUUUUAUUUGACAAAUGUUGGCCAAUCACGAAGUAACUAGGUUUAAAAAUUUAGUCUCGCGAUUUACAGCCAAACUGUAUAAUUAGUUUUUAUUUUUAUGUAUAUUUAAUGCUCGAUGCAUGUGCCGCAAGAUUCGAUAUGACGAAAAAUCUUAAAAAGUCUUUGGUUUUUUGGAUGAACUAAACAAGGCCCAAUCACCCUUUGGCCUCUUCAAACCAAGUUAACCACUAUACGAAGCUAUUGAUCUGUUGUAUUUGUUACAGCUUAUAUUAUAAAGCUUUUAAUAGAUGUAUAUUCUCAUUUGUGCAGUUUAUUCGCCAUACCGAUUACGUUAAUUAUGCAACCUUCAAUAUACUCCAGCAGCUUGUUGUUAAGCUGAGAUUCUGUACAAUGAACUGAUUCGCAGAAAAACUGGAACCAAUAUCAAACUACUGGACGAAUCACAUCUGUACUCACAUGAGACGUAUAACUAAGAAACAACGUUCCAUUAGGCGACCACAUGGCAGUAUGUAUAUACAUUUUCUUUCAACAAAUAAAGACCAUUUAUGUACACAAGGUGAGGUCACAGAGUACAGUUAGUUCUGGUACAAUGAGCGGCAUAUCUACAGCACAAUUACAUGCCACGGUGUUAAUCCAUAUCGACUGGGAGGCUGCAUCGCAUUCCAUAAACCAAGCAUCGUCAGAAGGCUCCAUAGAGUUGGCUUCGGCUUGAAAUUGCUGCUGCGCUGAAGCACAAGUACACCUUCUUUCUGUAGGUUACCCAGCUUUGUUGUCUAUGCAGCAAAAAUUCAGAGCAGCAACACAUGUAGCACACUGUCAAAAUGGAAGACUUUGACAGUUAACUUAGUCCAUGCUCCUCAAUGACCAAACAUAGCAUACCCGCGCUUCGGCGAUGUGCAUUAUGGGCAAAAACUGCAUUACAUACCUCAUGACUGGAAGAGAGUAACAGUUGCAAUAUAUCCAUUUUUCAUCACCUAAUAACCGAUAAAAUAACACGAUGUCACAUCUGAUAUACACAGGGAAAACAGAUUUGGAGUGUGAUCGAGUAACACCCACCUCGAAAGCAAUAUUCUGAUAUCCAUAUACAAAAGUCGAUCCAAAUGGAUUGUUCAUGGAGCCUUGUGUCUGGAUUGCAGCUCGGCCACAAUCACCGAGGAUCUCCUAAUACAGUAAAAACAAGGGUUGUUUAAAGGACAGAAAAAAAUUGGCAUAAAAGCAUGCAGUAAGAUAGCAUAUUGGCAUUUGGCACUGGAAGCGUUGCUUCAUUGAUGAUACAGCUUAGAGCAAUAUCUACUUAAAAGGUAAGUGCUCUAGAACAAGCAAAGGCAAAGCUGAAUUCUUAGUGCAAGAAAUUAGUGUGACUAUGCUAACAAACCAACUACGCAAAAGAAAACCUAGUAGAUCAUUUAGCCUUGAAUAAGUUUACCAUUCACAGUUUAAGAACUAAGAAGGAUGAAAAGGACUCGUGAAACAAGAUGCAAAAAGGGGUGUGCAAAAAUUGUUACAAAUGGCAUUUCAAAGCAAAGAUGAUAACUUUAGAACUACAUGGCAAAAAUCAAACAGCAUUCUGAAGCCAAAUAAGACAUCAAGGACUACCAGUUGUACCAUCAGCAGUGUUAAUAAGUCAUGUAAAACACCAUACCUUCACUUGUUCCCAUUUUGUACUAGGCAUUAUGCAAUUUUUUGAGACAUUACCAGGCUGAACUGUACCUUCAGCUGAAAAAAACCAGAUGGAUGAUUGGAUUGGAUUAUUCCAUCAAAACAAACUAUUUUUUUAUUACGAGUAGUUCAGACCUUCAGCGUCAUAUAUAACAAAGUUGCAUUUCUUAUAUGAGUUGAAAUCUGAAUGACCAGGGAAGUUUGUGUGCAAAACAAACUUCUUUAUCUUAUGUGUCUGCAAGGACAAUAAACUCUGUCAAUAUGCUAUUUCAAGUCCAAGCCAAUAAAAAAAAAGCUAUUUACAGUGUUGCACAAUCCUAGUGUGAUGAAAUACUCCACACCUGUCCAUCAAAUAAGAUAUCAAUUCCACGCGAGAAGUAGUUGUAGAAGUAAUCACCACAAAGUGUUGUACGAGGCCGGGGUUCUGAUGCAGAGUGUAUGACCAUUUGAUCCACCUACAAGAGGGAGACCUAACAUAGUAAGCAUUCCAGUUGAGAAUGCACCAAUGAUUCCAGGGAGAAUGGCAUUCCUUCAUACUGAUCUUGACCAAGCAAAACUUAAUCAUAUGCUACAGAAAUACUGCUUAGUCUCACACUCUCAAUAGCUUUGUAUAGGCUAAAGUAUUAUCUACAUGCUUCCAUGAGUAAGCAAAAAAAAGUAAAUUCUCAUGGAAACCAAUUCAGUUUAGCUUAUGUCAUAUGUUACAUAAUGUUGGCAACUCAAAGAAAUACAUAUUAUGUGAAAUCUCUACUCUGGUGCCUCAAUUAAAACUGACCUGCUUCUGAUGGAUACCACAAGGACGACCCAAUUCAGUCCAGACAUCCUGAAAAAAGAAAUUCAAGCAAAAGACAAAUCAGGGCCAAUGUUAAAGUUAAACUUUACUUCAGCAAAUAGAUAUGAUAUGCACCUGUGGUGAUGCACCAAAAGGAAUAUGCUGGCCCCCUAUUGUGAACCAAAGUUCUUCUCCAAGCUGAAAACAGUACAAAAUUAUACACAUAUAAGAAAAAUGUUUGCUCCAUUGGUAAGACUUGGUAAGACAAAACAACAUACAAAAAACCCCAAUUUAUCCAUAUACACGAAGAUACUAGUUAUUGUAUGAUUCUCCCUAACGCAACAAAGCAAAAAAAUAUAUUUUUUAUUCAACAUUAAAAAAGAGUCUCUAAAACAACCACACAUUGAAAGGCAUAUCCCACGACCAGCUUUUUCUUCAUUUUAUUUUGCUUAAUAGGUUCAUACAUUUCCUAAGAAAAGAGGUGCAUGGGUGGGUGGGGACAGGACUGGAGAGCUAAGAGGUCAAACUAGAUAGUCUGGAUCACUUGGAUUAUGAAGCAUCAAAAUAUGUCUUCAGCUUCAACAAAACCAGUAAGCCAGAAAAUUGUCAAGAAACCAAAAACAUGGCAUACCUUGGCGUGCACCUCCUCCAUAUACAGACUGCCUGCAGGCAGUGCAGGUACCACUGCUUUGUCCAUCAAAGAUCCAACCCCGACCUUGCUAUCUGUCGAGCUGUCGUAUAUACAAACCCGGCAAGUAACAGGGGUCGUUCCGUCUGGGAAUUCCAGGGGCAAAUCUGCCACUGCCAUAGCAAUUACAGAAGUGGGGUAAGAUGUCACAUAAACAUGGGUACUAAUAGAACAUUCACAACUGAAUUGGCUCUAAGGUAGAAUACCUUCCCCAUUGGUGAAUAGAUUUGUAUAUUGGCUGGGAAUAGGGAAUGCAAAGGAUAAACCCUACAAAAAAGCUUACCAGUAAGACCAACAGACUAAGAGAAAGAAAACAAGAUGAACUGCAAAAGAGGGAAGAAAAACAGAGCUAUUUUUCAUGACAUACUGGGUAGAACAACGUAUAAAUUCCCCUCUCUUUGUCAUAUAUACCAGGGAAAGUAGGUCCAAAGAGUGCAUACACAGCCGCAAAAGUGGCUAAUGUUGACGGGCCACUGAAAGUGAAAAAGAAAAUAAUCAGUAACACCACACAACCUUGUGCUGAAGGGUUAAUGUAACUGAGCGCAACAACAUAUCUGAACAGGGUUUAUUUGAGUACUUCCACUGUUUCACACAGAUUUAACAAUGAAAGAUCAUGGUCACAAGAUCCUUACCCAAUUAAAGCUGUCGCAUAUCGCAAUUGCAAUCUCUUAACAUCAUAAAUUUCUACAAGACGGAGUCUCUGCAAGGAUAAUACAAACCAUAUAAGUUUAGUAAUUUCUGAAGCCUGAAAACAAGUGUCAUUUCCACACAGCACACAUUCUCAAAUAUUCUUUUCCCCAUACAUAAAUUAGAAUUAUUAACCAUGAUGAGUUCCUUUUCUCAAUUACCCUCAUUAUAUUUCCUAUAUUUCAAGCAUAACAUACUCAAAAAUAACAGCAGCAAACCCUUUUAGCCACAAGAGUUGGGGUAGGCUAAUGCAUAACACACCCCAAUUUGAGUUUGCAAAAGUGGUCCACUAUAGUCUUAAUUAAUCGCCAUGAGCAACUGAUUUCUCAUGCAUUCAACGCUGGCUGUUUCAAAACAAAAAAUGCCUAUAAUGUACUCCCUCCAUCCCAAAUUAUAAGUCAUUCCAAGAAUCUUGGAAAGUCAAAGCAUCUCAAGUUUGACCAAAUUUUAUAGGAUAAGAUAACAACAUUUAUGAUACCAAUUAAGUAUUAUUAGGUUCUUCAUUAAUUAUAUUUUCAUAGUAUAUCUAUUUGAUGUCAUAUUUUUUGUAAUUUUUUCUAUAAUUUUGGUUAAACUUGAGAGACUUUGACUCUCCAAGAUUCUUGGAAUGACAUAAUUUGGAAUGGAGGGAGUAACAAACUAGCCCGAGCAUACCUGCGACCAAGGAUCAAAGCGUAGGUGAAAUCCAUGGUCUGGAAAGCUAAUGACAAAGUCCAGCUUGAGAGGCUCCUGAAAACCCAACCAACAACACCGAUCAGCUAAUAAUAUUUUGGUAUCCCUGGACCCUGGCAUCCGACAAACUCGUGCACCUCGUCUCACAAACCUCGUCGAAGUACUUCACGUGGACAACGUCGUAGAUAUUUGGCUGGCGCUCUAUCUGCGCAAACGCAUCGGAGAUCGGCAUCCCUGCACCGAUUGCGACCUCCCAAGUCAGAAUUGGCUCAAAGUUUGAAAAAUUUAACUAACCUCUUGCUUAAAGUCCUUUUUUCCCUCCCGUCCAAACCGAGAGGAAAGCAAAGGAAGCAACCAACGACCGCCGUUUCCUGCCGGGGCGGCGGGCGGUGGGUGGUUAGGGUUCUCACCGAGGGUGAAGGGGCCGACGCCGAGGCCGGGGCGGAGGUCAAGCGUGAUGGCUCCCAUGGCCGUGCCCUCGCACCGCCGCCGCACUGGCACCGUUCCCUGGGACGGCAUCCCAACCGCCGCCCCCGCCGCCGCAGCCGCUGCCACCGCCGCGGCGCCGCCACCCCCCGCCAUCGACGGUGACCUCUGCGCCUGCAUCCUGAGGCCCACCUCGCGGCCUCCCCUCCUUACUCCUCGACGGCUUAUUCCUCGGCGUGCUGCUGGGCUCGACUCGAUGGGAUUCGCGUGGGAUUGCGUCCACUCCACCACCAUCUCUCGCGCGGUGCGGUGCGGUGCGGGCUUCUUUAGCUUAACGAGAAACCAACGCGGGAGUUGGCUGCGUAUGACACGCGGGUCCGGAGCCGUCAGUGGCUGUAGCCUAGAAGUGGGGCCCGGAUGUCGGCGGGAGGAUCGCCGUGUGCACCUGCGUCGUCGCCUCAGGCCUUUUGCGCCGGAUUACGUGCGGCGGCGGAGGAACCCGUCGCGCGGCAAGUAGGUGGCCGGCGGGACACGUGGCGGACUCGUAGCGGAGGGCACUGCCUGUUUGCUGCGAGCGGCGAGUCGCGUAGGCCUGCUUCUGCUUCUGGUUUGGAGUUCGCGUUAGGAUCGGCUCCAAAGGCCCGGUUUAGUUUUCAAAAAAAAUCAAAAUUUUCCAUCAGACACAUACAUAAAUUAUUAAAUAAAAAAUAAAAAAAAUUAAGUAUACAGUUUGGUAUACAGUUUGCCUGUAAUUUACGACAUAAAUCUCCUAAACCUAGUUAAUUCAUGGUUAGACAAUAAUUGUCAAGCCGAAUUCGAGUCCAGAUUUCAGGAGGGGGAAAAAAGAAACUACAGAAAACGUGAAAAUGCAGCAGAAAAGCCGAAGAAAAAUUGGGGAGACGUAGCUCGUCAGUUUAAACUGCAUGACAAAGAUAGCAUAGUUCCAUUUUAUGACAGCAAACAUCACUUGAAUAUGCACUAGAUGUAGAGCACAUGGUUAUCAGAACAAGGAAAUGACAUGCAUGGAUGGAGUCCAGUAAUUUUCGUUCUUAUUUCUCGUACAACAACUCAAUUAAACAGGAAGUGAUUUGGAAUUCUGGAAGUUCUGCCCCGCUCGCAGGACUCUUGUUUACUGGUCCUCCUUGCCAUAAUUGUAGAUGAUCUCGAUCUACAAGACACAAUUGCCAUUAGUACAACAUUUUGGUGUACAGAAUCUACUACCCGAAAACAGUUUAGCAAUGCUAAAUGCUAGAACCAGAACAAGAUAAUGUCGCCAUAAAAAAUGAAGUCAUUUUGUAAACUCUACUAUGUAGCAUCCAAGUAGAGGAAAGCCUGUUAUGAAAAACUACCUUUGUGAGCAAAUCAGUAUGGGAACUUGGGAAGGAUAUUGUGGCCAUCGAAGAUGUAGUCAUUUUGUAAACUCUAAGCUAGUAAUAUGAUACUACACAGCAGUUGUUUGGCAGGGUUGACCCCAUCACGCCCAAGUAGAGGAUAUUCAAUUAUGAAAUAAUUGUAAAACUAACUACCUUUGCAAGCAAAUCAGUUAAAGUUCCUAAGAUGAAUUUACAGUUUUGGCCAAAGCACUACAACUAAUAAUCCACUAACAACAAAUAAUAGCUCUGGCUCGCUUGUCCAUUGAGAAAUUACAGAUGAAACCUUAAGUACUGCUACUUUUUUGCGUUCAAAUUAAGUUAGCUUAAACAACGAACAUUAUACCUUUUUUAGACGAUCACAGGAGAAAAAGACAAGCAAAAUAUUACGAAUGGUAAGCAUUGUGGUGAAUCUUUAGCAUAAGGCAAAUAUAUUACAUAGCAUAAAGAGCAAUGUAAGCUAUAUUACAUAGCAUAAAGAGCAAUGUAAGCUAUGAUCUUACCCCUUGAGGUGGAGGGGGGUUUCUAGUGAAUUUAGUGCCGCCUGGUGCCCAUGGAACUGCAGAGAUAAGAAGAGGCACAUAAAGAUAGCAUUCCAGUAGAGACUUCACCUCAGUUGGUAACUCAUACAGAUUAGCACAAUCAUUGUAUCUAAGAUUAAAAUUUUGACAUCAAUCAAUUACAACUAACUUUUCAACUAUAUCUCACAAAAAAAUGCUAGUAUCUUCCAGCAUAUUUGCUGUGGCCACUCAUUGGUAAACAGAGGCAUUGGCAUCAGGACCAGAAUCAAUUCAUAAGUUAGGCACUUAGACUGUCUCCAACCACGGAACCCAAACGCAAAAAAUAGGUCAUGCACAGUGUUUUGCAUCCUAAAAUUGGCAUCCAACAGAAGACCCAUACCGGACACUCAUUUUGGGUAUGAGGCCAACGAGAACGCAAAUAAGCGUCUUCCAGAGAGAAGACACAAAUCUCUGCCACGCCGUAGUGGUGGGCCCGUAGAAGGCGUCGCGGCGGGGCACGGCCGGCGGUGAGGCGAGUCCGCGGCGGGGCGGGUCUCCCACGACCCAAAUGUUCGAGGUUUCCACAGGAGGAGUGGAGGAGGUGGACGAAGGAGAGAGCACUGAGGACCCGCCGCCGAGCGCGAGCUCAGGGGAGCCAUGGCCGCCGCCAUGCGCGACCUUGGGAGCCGCUGUCGCCGAGAUCUGGUGGUUGCCAUCGCCGGGAUCUAGGGGCCGCGCAGCUGUGCAUGAGCUUGGGGAGCCACGGCCGCCGGGAUCUGAGGGUCGUGCAGAAGAAGUGUAGGGCAGAAGGAGGAGGUGGACAGUAGAAUGGCUUGCCGGAGGAGUAGGGGCUGCGGAGCAGGAGUGGAGGAGGCGCGGCCGUGCGGGGUGGGAGGACGAGGUGUGAAGGGCUCUCCUUUUUUUGCGUUCUCUGCUGUUGGAGAAGUGAAAUUUUGCAUGUCUGACCUUUCUCCUAUGCGUGACCCAAAUCAUGAUAUGGGUCUUUGAUUUGGGUUCGUGUUGUUGGAGAUAGCCUUAGGUCUUAGGCUGAAGCCUCACAACAGAAUUACAAUACCAAAUACCCACAAAAAUUAAAGCAGCAUCAGCUUGCAUAUUUAGUAAUUAAUUAAUCCAUAACCAUCGGUGUUACUAGAGCUGAGCAAACUUGUUUAUUUCAAACUGUUGUACAUCAAGAGUAAGCAGAUUGAACUGGGAAGGAUUGCAUGCCAGUAAACUGUACUCUAGUCAUUGAAAGGUUUUGACCCAAACGAAAAGUGUGGUUGAAUACCCCAGGUAUACAAAUGUAUAAUGAAUGCAAUGCAAGAAUUCGGAAAACUUUACUGUGACUUCGCUUACUCAAUAUCCAAUGAUCUAUCCAAAUAAAAGUGCCAGUGCCCUUUCUACGUAAUUUGAUGUGAAACAUCCACUGAACAAAAAGGCCAGGACGGCAAGAGAAAGCUUACCAAUGUAGGGAUCGGGGUGCUGGAAGUUCCUGUACCGAGCCUCCGCAUCGUCGAUGAGCCUAUCGAUCACGUCCAUGUUAUCCUGCACCAGCACCCCACACGAAAUCCAUCAUCUCACAGUCACAGCACCACACAGAAACCAUCACCAAACGUAACUCGCGAAUUCCCACCCCGUCGGCAGUAAAAUGGGAAUGAGACGAGGUGCGCAAAAAGAGAAUCAGCAGGAGGCGGCCUUACCACGUGUCGGUUGGCCUCGAACUUGUCCCGGAGAUCCGACGCCUGCGCGGGAGAGGGAGCACGAGGUCAGAUCCGCCCGCGAGCGGAAAGGGAGAUCCAGAUCGAGAGGGAGACGGAGGCGGAAGGAGGGAAAUGGGGGAACUGACGUCCUGGUAGAAGAGGUGGCGGUGAACGGCCCAGUUGAGCGUGUCCUUGAGCGCCCUGCGGUAGAGCAGACGCACCCGCUCCUUCUGCGCCGUCCGCCGCGCCAGGUACCCUGCCGUGGACGCCAUAGACCUCCCCGCCGCCGCCGCUGCUCCUUUCCUUCUCUCUCCUCUCGCUGCAGUAGUCGAGUUGGGGGAUUGGGGAUCGGAUUCGGACGGGGUCACGGCCUCGCAGGUGUCUAUGGGCUGUUUGGACUGGAUCGGCCACUGCUCGGACAUUGGGCUGCAAGCCCACUAGGGCCCAUUUUGUUCCCCUCUUUCUUUCUGGUCCACUUCCCUCUCUUGAGUGUGCACACAUCUUUUUUUGUGGACUAUUUCAACCUACUUCAAAAAAAAAAGUUUUUAUAUAAUUCAUGUAGCGUGUGGAAUAUGGCAAAAAAGAUUGCAUAGCUAACAGUGGUUGAAUAUUGGCACCAAAUAGGAGUAUUAAAGUCGAAUAUUUCACCUCUACUAGUCAAGCUGACCCUGUAACAUCAAUGCUUCUUUAUUUGUGGGAUUGUGGUGGUGUUCUCACAGCCAGGCAGCUUGAUGCCUACUACAGUACUUUGUGUAGGUGCAUAUAUGCUGAAGUUCUGAAGAUUAUGAUAUGAGGAUUGAAAGUUCAAAUUUCUCAACUUAUAGUCAAUGGCGGCAUAUGUAGUGCACUUAUUUGCAAUGUAUGAUAAACAAGUGGCACACUACUAGCUACAGUUGACUAGAAACUCUACAUAUAUCAUAAAAUAAAACUAGAGAAGAACCAUAAGCCCAUUUGGAUUAUCUUUCGAUUUCUAUUCCCACAUUACCAGCUUUCAAAGAAAAAUUGUGUUCUGUAUCCGUAAGCAUUGACGAAGUCAAAGUAUAACUAAAAUUUUUUAAUUUAUAUAAGCUACAUUUCCACUGAUGAUGAAAAGAAACAGCAUGUAUAUAUACAUCUCCUCCCGUGAUCCUAUCCCUUGUGAGCUGUGAGUUGACAUUGAUGAUUCCUGAAUUUCUACAAGCAGAUAAAAAAGAAUCUAGCUUGGUCAUCCAAAAUCCCAAAUCGCCUCGCAAGAUGGAUGGAUGUACGGCCGCACCGAAAGUUGUUAGGAGUUGACAUUAGCCUGCAGGUACAUACAUACUGGCCACAUGGUAGCUGGAACAGUAACUAGUAUUCUAUCUCGGAAUAAAUUCAGUUAUGCGCCACUGCUUGUACAUAUGAUAUGUGUAGUGUACUGUGUACAUACAUACCGGUACUGCUGUACUAGCAAGACACGGGCAGUGAGGUACAGAGUACAUAGUACUAUAGACAGUGCAACUUAUCAUUCCUCUUCUCAUAGAAGGUGUCAAGAAACAAAAAGGGGGGAAAAACUUAUUCCCUGGUCAUCAUUUACAGCCACAGCUAGUACUACAAUGUGACGUGAGAUCUAAGCAGGGUGCUCAUUAGCCAUGCCAUUGGUAUGUGUUGGUAAUAUGCCCUAGAGGUAAUCAUAGAGAUGAUUGUAUUACAUUAUAUCCAUGACAUAUUAUGAGUAUAUUGAAUAUCCAUUGAAAGGCAACUUGUAUCGAUUGACAAUUAUGUGAAUUGUUUGUGAAACUCUUUUACUUGUAUGGUUAUUCUAAAGUUGUCCCUGAUCAAUGUGUGUGAGACAUACAAGUAUAUUAGAUCAGCACAAUAUUAGUUGAUGACCAUGUUUCACAGGUCAUGGACAUAGAGAUGUCAAACUAAUAUUGUGGGCACAUGUAUGACAUAGGGCUGGAUAGACCCAACGUGAGAUGUUAUAGUCUCUAUUCACAUCAUAUAUGUUAUGUCCUUAGACCUGAGAUUGUCGUAUGCAUUCGAGAUGUGAAACGACCUACUUAGAGACUAUCAAACGCUACUCCGUAACUGGGUAGCUAUAAAGGUAGUCUUCAGGUUUGUCAGGAAACAUGCUGCGAGGCAUAGUCAAUCAAGAUGGAAUUUGCCCCUCUUGAUUGAGAGAGAUAUCACUGGAUCACUCAAGUGAUUGGAUCAACAAAUGCAUGGUCGUGCUUGGGUUAAGUGUUAACCCACGAGUUGAACCAAAUAUCAUGAGGCAAGGGAGCAACAUGUAUGUGGUGUAGUGGUUCGUCUGAUAUGAUCAUUUGCGUGCAUAUAGGAGUUGUCACGCCUUGCUAGAGGCCGCUGUCAACUAUUGAGCGAGUAGGAGUACUCGGCCCAUGUCUAUGUGUACGUGAACCCAUAGGGUCGCACGCUUAAGGGGCUGGAAGCCUAAUUCGGGUUGGACCCGAAUUAGACAAGGCUUAGGGUUACUAAUGGGCCUCCAACUCGGGAGCACAUUAGGGACGCCUAUAUAAGUAGAGGGAGGGGCGCGGCCAGACUUGAUCCACGCCUUUUGGCAGCCGCCGUCGCCCUCCACGCUCGCGCCUUCGCUCCUCGCGGACCUAGCAGUCCGGAGGCGCAUCGCUUCUUCCCCGUACGUGUGGGACACCUCGGAGGUGCUGCAUCUGGAGCACGAGGACGAACCGCAAGUGGUGGGAGGACUUGCUGGACGACCACGCAACUGCACGGCACUGCUACGACGUGUUCGACUACAUCGAGUCGUCUUCCGCUGCAUCUACACGUCGAGUGGUAUAUCCGUAACCUAUCUCUAGCAGUAGAUCCUGGAUUAUGGGGCGAAAAUUUUGAUUUUCUGGCUAGCGUAGCGUCCUCGUAACUCUACAGUGGUAUCAAAGCUAUUACUGCCUCGUUAUAGGUUCGGUUUUGUUCAUAUGAUGAUUUGUGCGGUCGUUGAUGAGUCUCUGAUCUUGGUUCAUCAUCUUGCCGUGAUUGGUCAUGUAACGAUCUACUCGUACCGGUCGGAAUUCCGCCAUCCGAGUUAAGUGAUACAUGUAAAUCCAAUCAUGUCGAGUUAGAGAUCAAUUAGAUUGAUUGAAUUGAACCCUAGGUCAAGUGCCGGGCGCAUAUGAUGCGCGGCGGUGGUAGAUGGGAUCUACUGCUGGACGCCGGGUUACCGCUGUUCGGUAAAACAGCCAUAACUCUUAAACCGUAACUCGGAUUGAGACGAUUCCCGCGUUGCCGCAUAGGAAAUGAAAUUUUAGAUCUGAUUUCGCACCGCUUCGCCGUGAUCGCCGAUUUUAGAAUCGCGAAAAACCUCUUGGAAAAUAGAGUUUUUGCCCCUGCAAGUUUAUGUGUCAGAAUCGCAUAACUCUGUUUUGCAGGAAUUCAUGACUGGUAUAGCCCUUAUGUGUAUGUGAUGCAUGUGUGUAAUUAAUUCAUGGCUUGCACGUCAUGAGGACAAUAUGGCAGGAGCCUUUUGAUAUUGUCAAAAUUAAUGUAAUGGCCUGCGUGCCAAUCUGUGAUGAUACAAUCCGCGAUUAUGUAAUUUUAUUUCACUGCCUUGCGUUAGUGAUUGAUUAAUCAUGGCGGAUUCAUCACAUGAAGGAUGGCAUACGUAAAUCAUGGAGAUGGAGAUCGCCAUGGUGAACAGAAAGAUGGAGAUAGAGAUCCCCAAAAGGAACCAUGGGCUAUACCAAGUCAUACGUGUUUAAUGCCGUUCUUACUACGUUCUACUUUCAUAUGCGAUGAUGUUUUUGUCUACAUAAGCGCGGUAGUGAAGUAGAACGAUCCCUCAGCAAUGUCUAAGUGGAAAUGCUUCCCCAAACCUUGCACUGUCACCGGUCUUGUACAAUUGGUGGUGGGUCUAUGAAAUUAGGGUACCACUAAUUUUCCUUGACUAGACAGGUUUGUAUCGGAUACUUACUGCAUAAGGGUUGGUUGCUUAGACAAAGUCAUCCUAACGGUUAGGGACUUUGAAGCAUGAGAGUUGGGCGUGAGGCAUAGAGAUGCUACCCAACAACAAGAGUCAUAUGAGAUAUGAUUAGCAAGGAGUUGCUUACCGAUUUACCAUGCCUGCUAGCGGUGAUGCUAAAGCUCACUAGUAGACAUGUUAGAUGUGGAUCUUGAAUCACUAAGUAUCAAUAGAGGGAUAUUGAUUUUAGUGGGAGUAGAUUAAUAAAUUGUUUAUUUUGUUUUACUCCGUCUUGGAUAUGUUGUCUUAGUAUUUUGCAUACUUUUGUUGUAGAUCAAUGGCUGCCGCUAACAAGCAACCGUUUUCAUUGCGUUCAAUUCUUGAGAAAGAUAAGUUAAAUGGAACAAACUACGCGGAUUGGAUCCGCAACCUGAGAAUUGUUCUCAGGGCUGAGAAAAAGGAAGAUGUUCUAGACACCCCACUUCCUGAUGAGCCUGCUGAAAAUGCACCCGCUGCUGAGAGAAACGCUUACAAGAAAGCAUCUGAUGCUGAUCUUGAAGUGAGUUGCCUCAUGCUUGCUUCCAUGGAACCAGACCUACAAAUGCAGUUUGAUGGUCACUCGGCGAACGAUAUGAUCGUGGCGCUUGAGGAAAUGUUCCAAACUCAAGCCAGGACUGAAAGGUUCAAUGUCUCCAAGGCUUUGGUUGAAACUAAGCUAGCAGAAGGCGCAGCGGUUGGACCACACGUGAUCAAGUUAGUUGGUUACACAAACAGGUUGGAGAAGCUAGGCUUCCCAAUUGGCGAUGAGUUAGCCACUGAUUUCAUUCUUGCAUCGCUUCCGCCUAGCUAUGGGAACUUCAUCUCGAACUACCAUAUGCAUGGGGCCGAGAAGGGCUUGAAUGAGCUGUGUGGGAUGCUUAAGCAAGCAGAGGCAGACAUCAAGAAGGGUGCUAGCAGUAGCCAUGUGAUGGCAAUCCAGAACAAGCCUAACUUUAAGAAGAAGGGCAAUGCGUGGAGGAAGAAAAAGGGCAAGGCUAAAGGUGAGACCUCUAAGCCAAACCCACCUGCACCUAAGGCUGGACCAACUGCGAGCACCAAGUGCUUUCACUGUGGUGGGGAAGGUCACUGGAAGAGAAACUGCAAGGUGUACUUGGAGUCCAUAAAGGAUCGUGGCAGUAAAGGUACUUCCACUCGUACAUUUGUUGUUUAUAUUACAGAUAUUUUUCUCGCUCAAUCUUAUAUCAAUUCUUGGGUAUUUGAUACCGGAUCGGUUGCUCAUAUUUGCAAUACGAUGCAGGGGAUGAUAAGAAGUAGGAGCGUGGAGAAGGGAGAAGUUGAUUUCCGCGUGGGCAACAAUGCAAGAGUUGCUGCGUUGAACGUCGGGAUAAAGCAGCUUCACCUUCCUUCAGGAUUUAUUUUGGAGUUGAAUAAUUGUUAUUUUAUUCCUAGCUUGAGUCGAAACAUUGUGUCGCCUUCAUGUUUGAUGGAGGAUGGUUAUACAUUCGCGAGUAAAGACAAUGGUUGUGUAAUAUCUCGUAAUGGCAUGUUUGUGGCUUCUGCUUCCAUUGUGAAUGGGUUAUUUAUUUUAAAUCUUGAUGAUUCACCUAUCUGUAAUAUAAGUGCUAAAAAGCCUUGGCUUAAUGAGUUAAGUCCUACCUAUAUGUGGCAUUGUCGUUUAGGUCAUAUUAGUGAGAAUCGCAUGAAGAGGCUCCAUAAUGAUGGACUUCUAACUUCGUUUGAUUUCGAAUCUUACGAGACAUGUGAGGCUUGCUUGCUUGGAAAGAUGACUAAAACGCCUUUCACAGGUUUUCCUGAGAGGGCGAUUGACUUGUUGGAACUUAUACAUAGUGAUGUGUGUGGACCAAUGAGCACGACAGCUAGAGGCGGAUUCGAAUACUUUGUAACCUUCACUGAUGAUUUUAGUAGAUAUGGUUAUGUCUACCUAAUGAAACACAAGUCUGAAACCUUCGAAAAGUUCAAGGAAUUUCAGAACGAAGUAGAGAAUCAACGUGGCAAGAAAAUUAAAGCUUUACGAUCUGAUCGUGGAGGUGAAUAUUUGAGCCACGAAUUUAGCAAUCAUCUAAAGAGUUGCGGAAUUGUUCCACAGCUUACGCCGCCUGGAACGCCACAGAGAAACGGUGUGUCCGAGCGACGUAAUCGGACUUUGUUAGACAUGGUUCGGUCUAUGAUGAGCCAGACAGACCUUCCACUAUCGUUUUGGGGAUACGCUCUAGAAACAGCCGCUUUCACACUAAAUAGGGUACCGUCUAAGUCCGUAGUUAAGACACCAUAUGAGAUGUGGACUGGUAAGAGUCCCAGUUUGUCUUUUCUAAAAAUUUGGGGUUGUGAAGUUUAUGUUAAACGACUUAUGUCAGAUAAGUUAACACCCAAAUCGGACAAGUGCUUCUUCGUGGGAUACCCAAAGGAAACUUUAGGGUAUUACUUCUAUAACCGAUCAGAGGGCAAAGUGUUUGUUGCUCGGAAUGGUGUUUUCUUAGAGAAAGAGUUUCUCAAAAGAGAGAAAAGUGGACAAAAGGUGUAUCUUGAAGAAGUUCAAGAUGAGCCGACAGGAAACGACUCCAAAAGUGAUGCUAAUGUAGCAGAACAAGAUGAGAUACCUGUGGCACCACCACAACCACGAAGGUCUACAAGAGUCAUAACCCCAUCGGUAAGACUUCGUGAAGCACGAGGGGAGCUGUUGUUGUUAGACAAUGACGAGCCAGCGACUUAUGCGGGAGCAGUGAUGGACCCAGAUUCUGAGAGAUGGCAAAGUGCCAUGAGAUCCGAGAUAGAUUCCAUGGAAGCCAAUCAAGUUUGGAACUUGGUUGAUCCACCUGAUGGUGUUAGACCCAUCGAGUGCAAAUGGAUCUAUAAAAAGAAAAGGGAUAUGGAUGGAAAUGUUCAAGUCUAUAAAGCUCGACUUGUCGCAAAGGGUUUCCGGCAAGUUCAAGGAAUUGACUACGAUGAGACAUUCUCUCCAGUAGCGAUGCUUAAAUCUAUCCGGAUCAUUCUAGCAAUAGCUGCUUAUUUCGAUUAUGAGAUUUGGCAGAUGGAUGUUAAAACAGCCUUUCUAAAUGGAAAUUUAGAAGAGGACGUGUAUAUGAUACAGCCCGAAGGUUUUGUUGAUCCAAAUAAUGCUAGAAAAAUAUGCAAGCUAAAAAAAUCUAUUUAUGGGUUAAAGCAAGCAUCUCGGAGUUGGAACAUUCGUUUUGAUGAGGUUGUCAAAGGGUUUGGCUUCCGUCAGAAUGAAGAAGAGCCUUGCGUUUAUCAAAAGGCUAGUGGGAGCGCUGUUGUGUUUCUGAUCUUGUAUGUGGAUGACAUACUAUUGAUUGGGAAUGACAUUUCUAUGUUGCAAUUUGUAAAGACUUCAAUGAAUAAUAGUUUUUCUAUGAAGGAUUUAGGAGAUGCAGCAUACAUCUUGGGUAUUAAGAUCUAUAGAGAUAGGUCGAAGAGGCUAAUAGGAUUAUGCCAAGAUACGUACAUUGACAAGGUGUUGAAACGGUUCAACAUGGAGCAGUCCAAGAAAGGGUUCUUGCCUAUGUCACAUGGUAUGCGUUUUAGCGACAAGCAGUGUCCUUCAUCAGAUGAAGAGCGCAAACGCAUGAGUAAGGUUCCAUAUGCUUCAGCAGUUGGUUCCAUCAUGUAUGCCAUGAUAUGUACUCGCCCAGAUGUCUCAUAUGCUCUAAGUGUUGCGAGCAGGUACCAAGCUAAUCCUGGUGAGAGUCACUGGACGCUUGUUAAAAACAUUCUUAAGUACUUGAGAAGGACUAAGGAUGAGUUCCUAAUCUAUGGAGGUGAGGAGGAGCUCGUUGUAAAUGGUUACACCGAUGCUAGCUUCCAAACUGAUGUAGAUGAUUCACAAUCUCAAUCAGGUUUUGUGUUCACAAUAAAUGGUGGUGCAGUUAGCUGGAAAAGUUCCAAGCAGGAGACAGUGUCUGAUUCUACAGCAGAAGCCGAGUACAUUGCAGCUUCUGAAGCUGCAAAGGAAGGUGUUUGGAUGAGACGGUUCCUCAUUGAGCUUGGUGUGUUUCCUAAUGCGGCUAGCCCAUUGAAUCUACAUUGUGACAACAAUGGGGCAAUAGCGCAGGCUAAGGAGCCAAGGAAUCACCAGAAGAACAAACAUGUACUUCGGAAAUUUCACCUCAUUCGUCAGUUCAUCAAAAGAGGUGAAAUUAAAAUGUGCAAGAUACACACGGAUUUGAAUGUAGCAGAUCCGUUGACAAAGGCCCUUCCACAGCCUAAGCAUGAGGCGCACAUGAGGUCUAUGGGUAUUAGACAUCUUAGAGAUUAACUCUAGUGCAAGUGGGAGACUGUUGGUAAUAUGCCCUAGAGGUAAUCAUAGAGAUGAUUGUAUUACAUUAUAUCCAUGACAUAUUAUGAGUAUAUUGAAUAUCCAUUGAAAGGCAACUUGUAUCGAUUGACAAUUAUGUGAAUUGUUUGUGAAACUCUUUUACUUGUAUGGUUAUUCUAAAGUUGUCCCUGAUCAAUGUGUGUGAGACAUACAAGUAUAUUAGAUCAGCACAAUAUUAGUUGAUGACCAUGUUUCACAGGUCAUGGACAUAGAGAUGUCAAACUAAUAUUGUGGGCACAUGUAUGACAUAGGGCUGGAUAGACCCAACGUGAGAUGUUAUAGUCUCUAUUCACAUCAUAUAUGUUAUGUCCUUAGACCUGAGAUUGUCGUAUGCAUUCGAGAUGUGAAACGACCUACUUAGAGACUAUCAAACGCUACUCCGUAACUGGGUAGCUAUAAAGGUAGUCUUCAGGUUUGUCAGGAAACAUGCUGCGAGGCAUAGUCAAUCAAGAUGGAAUUUGCCCCUCUUGAUUGAGAGAGAUAUCACUGGAUCACUCAAGUGAUUGGAUCAACAAAUGCAUGGCCGUGCUUGGGUUAAGUGUUAACCCACGAGUUGAACCAAAUAUCAUGAGGCAAGGGAGCAACAUGUAUGUGGUGUAGUGGUUCGUCUGAUAUGAUCAUUUGCGUGCAUAUAGGAGUUGUCACGCCUUGCUAGAGGCCGCUGUCAACUAUUGAGCGAGUAGGAGUACUCGGCCCAUGUCUAUGUGUACGUGAACCCAUAGGGUCGCACGCUUAAGGGGCUGGAAGCCUAAUUCGGGUUGGACCCGAAUUAGACAAGGCUUAGGGUUACUAAUGGGCCUCCAACUCGGGAGCACAUUAGGGACGCCUAUAUAAGUAGAGGGAGGGGCGCGGCCAGACUUGAUCCACGCCUUUUGGCAGCCGCCGUCGCCCUCCACGCUCGCGCCUUCGCUCCUCGCGGACCUAGCAGUCCGGAGGCGCAUCGCUUCUUCCCCGUACGUGUGGGACACCUCGGAGGUGCUGCAUCUGGAGCACGAGGACGAACCGCAAGUGGUGGGAGGACUUGCUGGACGACCACGCAACUGCACGGCACUGCUACGACGUGUUCGACUACAUCGAGUCGUCUUCCGCUGCAUCUACACGUCGAGUGGUAUAUCCGUAACCUAUCUCUAGCAGUAGAUCCUGGAUUAUGGGGCGAAAAUUUUGAUUUUCUGGCUAGCGUAGCGUCCUCGUAACUCUACAGUAUGGUAUCCAAGGAGAUCAGGGUUAAGUUCCAGAGUUUCAGGCAUUGCCUUGCCCAGGAGCCAGGACCAGGAGCCUGCCCAAUGCAACCUGAAACCAAGCUGAGAACGAGAGGCAGCAGAUGGGGGGGGGGGGGGGGGAGUGGGGACUGGACUGUGGAGGCCGUUGCUGUUUCGGUUCACAGGCGGAGAGGCCCAGCGUCAGCGCCGGCAGCCAUUGGGAAAACGAAAACUUGUCCCGUCUGCAUUUACUCGCAGCACGAGAAAGACGAAGGCAUCGACAGCGAGUUGGGUGAGGUGAGGUGAGGUGAGGUGAGGUGAGGUGAGGUGAGGUGAGGUGAGGCGAGCAGGUUUAAUGGCGCUCGCGUCAGCGUCACUGACCUCGACCUCGACCUCACUCCUCUCUCUUUUUCUCAGCUCUGAGCUCCGUCCGAGGACAGGAUACUGGAGUACGUACAGUACUGGACACUGAAGAACUUCUGAAGAAAAUACGCAGGAACACAGGCGCCUCUUCUGAAACUUGCCACCUGCAGUUGGGGCGUUGUUUAAUGGCUUGGAACCUUCAUCUGUCAGUCAACCAGUGAGCCAGUGAGCGCAUCAGUCCAGAUGCUGCCGCUAAUCACAAUCAGACGCUAACCACGAGUAAUACUGCGAUUAUUUUACGGCACCCAACAGCGUCUUGUCUUGUUUUUAUAGCACAUCGUGAUGAGGUGCAGCAGCAGUGUUUGUUUAUGCCAAUGGAGUGGAGAUGAGAUGCUUCUGUGCUGCUGCCAGCGCCAGCCACAGGCUCCGGCCGGUUUCUUUACUCCAGUGAGGCGCGGCAGCUUGUGGUACGCCGUUUCCUGCUGGAUCUUGCCCAUGCGUGCGUACAGCGUACUUGCUUCCACGGAUCCGAGUUCUUUGCUCCUGAUAAACUCGGCUCCGUGUUCCAGCUCAUCAGAGAUAGUGCUGGGACUGCAUGCUGGAUCAGCUAGCUGCUUCACCAAAACUUUCCAAAUGCUGCUGCAUGCAUGAUCCUCAGUUUAAUUGUGUGCCGCGUGCCGGUGAAAAAGACAGUUGGCUGAGGAUGCGAUAGCUUGGAUUAGUUGGCAACUGGGGGUGAUAGCAAGACUCCUAGUAGUAGGUAGCUGGCUGGCAGUUUAGGACAGAUUAGUGCUGCUUGCCUGCUUGUACAGCAAAUGGAGUAAGAUUUGAAGUGGUUCAUCCCUGAUGACCUGUUCUUCUUUGGGACUCUUGCUCGUAGGGAUGCAACUAAGUACGCCAUUGAAGAAGUUCAGGCCCCUUUUGGAUUGCAGGAUUUUUUUUUUCAUGCUCCUGUGUUUUUCUGAAAUUGUUUCAUGUCAAAUUACAAAUAAUUGCCAUGAAAUUCCUGCGUUUCAAAAGGGAGCCCUUAAGAAGAAAAAGAAUCCAAGGAUUAUUUGGAUGGUGUAGUAUUAAGAACCCGUAGUAUUAAAACUAGUUUUAUAGAACCAUAGAUAUGUAAAACCAAAGGUUUCCAAGAAAAAAAAAUAGGUAAGCAGACUUAUGCCAUAUUUGGAUCUAAAGUGUUUUUUUUCAGUUUUAGAAAAAUAUUAUGGUCUUCUAGGUUAAGAGUUCAGUCAAGUGUUUACAAUGACAACUUUGUGUUUUAAAAACCACAACAAUGUUAAAAUUGUAGUCUUUCUGAGUUUUGUAAAGUUUUAUAAUGUCCACUCUAAACCAAAAAAGAAUUGUUUGUCUUUAGAUUUUAAUAUUACAACAUCCAAACAGUGCCUUUGUUCUUGAACAUAGGUUUUAGAACAAAAAGAAACAUCUAGCCCUAAGGAAAUAUAGAUUGAAAAAAAAAUGAUAUAAUGGCUCCCAAAGGGCCAUGACCGCAAUUUACGGUUAGUGACAGACCUGUUAAAGAAUGAUGGCACGGUCAUCGGAAAGCUCUCUUUCGGUGAAUGAAGUAAGCAGGCAUUAUUAUACCUUUUUCAAAAAGGCAUGGGACAAAAGAAAACAUAAAAAAGGAGCCAAUUAACCAGGCAUUGAUUGAGAAACCUGGAGUAUUUUCCUGCCAUGGAAAAAAGUCAUGACUAGUUUCUUGCUGUGCCGGUAACACAACUGCUACUCGGAGAAAAAAACUUGUGGCUGUUAGAUGGCACAACUGUGCUUCAUAAUUCCUGCGGUGAUAGCUUAUCAAGCCCUGUACGUACGGCUAUAGGAUUUGCACCACGAAACAGAAGCGGCCCAUGGAUUUGACCUCUGCGUUGUGAACAGUCACUGCUAGGUUUACCUAACAACACGUAUAUAACCUAGAUUAAAAGCUUAAUUAAUGUGGCAACGAGCCAACGAUGCUUAAUCGUGCACGCAUGUCGGAUCCCCUACAUUGCAUUAUACGUUACAUACAUGAUCGAUAGAGUAAUAACUCCCUUGAGGGGCCUCCAAUUGAAAAUGCGGCGGUUGUCGACAAAUUUGCUGACAUGAAUUGCAUGCUGAGGUGGGCAUUGCUUGUGAGUGAAAUCAUCUGAGGUCUUGUUUGGAUGUAGUCGGAUUCGCAUCAAUCCACAUGUGUUGGGGUGGAUUGGAGUGGAAGUUGAACUAAAUUCCACCCUAAUCCACUCCAACACAUGUGGAUUGAGGUGAAUCCGACAACAUCCAAACAAGGCCUAAAGAAUUUAGAAGCCUGAUGAAGCUUGUUCUGCAAAGUGCAACAACCAAGGGCAGGACAAAAGUUGUGUAUAAAUCAGGGUUUAGGGACACAACAUUUACCAACCACGAUAUAGAUAAAAUUAAAGCAAAGAUCAUGCGAUGGAGUUGGAUUAUUUGUUAGUACCAAAUAUGCGUGCGUAGAUCGUGUGAAUUGCAUCAUGGAUGACAUUGGUAUAGGGGUGAAAGUGGUGUGGAUAAUUCUCCGAACCGAUCCGAUCCGAAUCCGAAUUUUGAGGAUAUGGAGAAGAACUUUUAACAUCCGUACGGAUACGGAUAAUCCGAAUCCGAUUAUCUGCGGAUACGGGGUAGGAUAUAGAAUAGGUAAAAUCCGGCGGAUAUGGAUUAUCCGCAAAUUUUAUGCGGAUUAUCCGAUGUUUAAAAUAGGAUAUCCGAAGGUUUCUCUUCCAAGACUAAAGAAUUUAGGAUUUUAAAAAGUUUGUUAGUUGAGGACUUUUAUUUUAUGAUGUGGUUGUUUAAUGUUCUAAUUUUUAAAUUAAGAAAUUUGCUAGAUGUUAUUAUUUAUUGGCUAAUAACUUAUUAUUUUUGGUGAAGAUAUCAUGUUAAGUGUUAACUAUUAGUAUGAGAGCAGCAACAUGGAAUACAAUGCAAGAUUAUUAUCUAUUGCCUAUUCUUGUUCUGUACUAAAUAAAUUCUUCACAAGCAUAUAAUUCUCUAUGUAUGCACAUGUUACUCGACUAUUAAAAUCCGUCUCCGAUCCGUUUCCGCUCCAUAUCCGUACCAGUUCCGACUACCGAAAAAAACUGUAUCCACAUCCACAUCCGUGUAUUAUCCGCUCCGCACCGAAUUCGACAAAGAAAAGCGGAUUAGGAUAUGGGAAAGACAUUAUCCGCACCGAUCCGAUUCGUUUUCAUCCCUACAUUGGUAUAUAUGUAAUGAAGUUUAUACAAGUGUUGAAGCGUCGCCUUCCUACAUCAACAUGCUCCGAAGUUGGGUACUAUCUGAAAAGUAAUCGAGUUUGCGUAGAACACUCACACCAGGAAGAUGAAUUGGAAGAACAAUACAGCUAGCCGUUCAGAACAGGAGAUACGAAGGGACAGUCCCUAGACAUCUUGACCCUCUUGAGUAUCUGGAACUGCCGAAAUGAUGUCAUCUUCAGAGAGGUGCGCAAGACAGACCAAGUAACACUCACGAUGAUAAAAGACACAACACAACAAUGAAGCUAGGCAGGCUACAAUGCUCUCAGGGGUCGACCAUGUAACUAGAGAGUAAUCCGUUAUGUAACUAAGCCCUACGUGGCCUCGGCAACGGGGGGCCCACAGCUCGCGCAUGUAAUUGGAUGUUUGCUCCCUCUCUUAUUAAUGAUUUAAAGCCGGUAAUACCGGUUCUUUAAAAAAUGCCACUUGGAAUUGUUUUAUCACUCUUGCAUUUUUCUGGUGGGACAUAUAUAAAGCUAUGUUCUUGAAGAAAGAAAGAAAACUUGAUCUUAAAAAAGACACUAUGUGUUCAUAUGAGAUGGGAAAUGUAGUGCUCUCUGUAAAUUGAUUGAGGAAUUACAAAAGAAUAUUUCCUCCUCUAGCUAGAUAGAAAAAGAAAUGCUCUCUCUAGAUUGUGUUGAAUUUACUCGUUUGGUCAAGAAAAAAAAGGAUCAUGUACGUCUGACAGAAAAGCUACACAUGUCCAAUGCAACUCUAGUCCACAGGAUUUGAGAUCACUUUCCAAAAUCCCUUGCUUGCGUACACUGAUACACAUAUCCAGAGCCAAGACAAAAUUUUCCCAUGAAAGGGAUUUGCAAGGCAGAAAGCAUAUCCUACUUUUGCAUAUAUCAUCUAGAAGAAAAGGCGUAAAAGUCCUGUGGAAAAUGCACAUCACUAUCCCUUUCAAGCUUUCACUGUAAUAGUUGACAGUAGAGGAUAGCAGAACUCCCUCCUAAGGCCCUGUUUGGUUCAGAGUUAUAAAUUUUUAAUCUAUAUAAUAUUAAAUAUUUGGACACAUACAUAAAAUAUUAAAUAUAAACUAUUUACAAAACUAAAAACACAACUAAAAAAUAAUUUGUAAGAUGAUUUUUUAAACCUAAUUAGUCUAUGACUAGACACUAAUUACUAUAGUUAUAAAUUAGCUACAGUACCUAUUAAACUUUAGUGCCUCCAACCAAACACCCCUAAAAAACAUUUUAAUUCUACUUCAAAACUAAGUCAAAGUAUCUUAAAUUGAUUAUUUACAUAAAAAAUAUCAACCUUUAUUAUAUUAAUUAAGUAUAAUUAGGGACUGUAUUUUUUCAUAGCAGAACUCCCUCCCGUAUUUGUCUAUAUAUUUAAUUGAAAGUAGAUUUCUUUUUUUUUUUAAAAUGCACAAUUGCAUUCUUGGAACAGAGGCAGUAGAACCCAAUGGCGGCAGCUGCAGCUAGUCAAGCUGCCUGCCGCUGUCCAUCAACGUACGGGAGGUACCAUCCACUAAUUCCAUCCCCAAACCACGACCGGUUCUUGGAAGCUUGACGCAUGGCCUGCCGCUAACUGCUGGCUGCUGUGGGCACCGUUAAAUCGCCGCGACAGCGAUGGUGCCGGCCAAUGCCAUCCGGCCGUCGAAGCCAUCAAUCGCGUCAGAAUUCAGAUGCCAUUCGCCUUGUGCAAGUACUACGGCCUUGUUUAGUUUCCAAAAUUUUGCAAAAUUUUUCAGAUUCUUCGUCACAUCGAAUCUUUAGACGUAUGCAUAGAGUAUUAAAUAUAUAUGAAAAUAAAAACUAAUUGCACAGUUUGAUCGGAAUAGACGAGACGAAUCUUUUAAGUCUAAUUAGUCUAUAAUUAGACAAUAUUUGUCAAAUACAAACGAAAGUGCUACUAUUCCUAUUUUGUAAAAAAAUUUUGGAAGUAAACAAGGCCUACUACUGCUCAUGAACUCAUCAUCUUUGCUUGUCUACGUGUGCUUAUCUAGCUGCUAAAAGCCGUUCUCCUUUUUCUUUCCGCAAUGGCGGUGACACUACUGGCCAUGCCGCCAUGCAGGGCUGGCUGAUCAGUGGCUGGGUUUCAGUUUUUUUUUUUGGUUCCAAGGACUCAGUAUUUGUUUCAACUUUGAUUGUUUUUGUUAUUUUCCCUCUUAAUGAAAUACAAAAAAUUUGUUUUUUUAUGACAAGUUUUCUGGGCUUUUUUCACACAGACAUUUGAUUGGGAUACCACAAGGCUUCAUCUUUUUUAACAAAAAGAUAAAAAAAAACAUAAAUGUAUUCUCUUCUUUAUGUAGGAGUAGUCGUCAAAUUGCACAACGAACAAAAAGAAGUCAGACGAAAAGUCCUAUACUAAUUCUCCGCGCCUGAUCUUUCAGAAUUCAGACGACAGUAGUAACUGUUAACAUCAUGCACGGUUCAGGUCUCGGCUGCUUUAGCUAUCAAAUGCUAGCUGCAGCUCUCUUUGAAGCGAACGAGUCAAGAGAUGACUUUUUUUGGCCCGUUUAUAUCAGUUCUACCCAGUAAUGGCAGCAGCCGGAAAAUGUCAACGCGGUUGCAUCAGAGGCACGACACUGCGAGUAGCAACAGCAGUGUCCCAUGACACAGAGACACCGAGACCAGCGGUGACCAACUAUUCAGCGUCAAAAGACGAGCUUGGGCUGGGGGUCCGUCAACAACUUGGAGCGAUUCCAAGUUUGAUGAGUAAAGCCUUGUUUAGUUCUAAAAAGUGAAAACUUUUCGGUACUGUAGCAUUUUAAUCAUGGACUAACUAGAAUUAAAAGAUUCGUCUCGUGAUUUACAGCUAAACUGUGUAAUUAUUUUUUGUUUUCGUCUAUAUUUAAUGUUUUAUGCAUGUGCCACAAAAUUCGAUGUGAUGGGGAAUCUUGAAAAACUUUUUGGUUUUCAGGGUGAACUAAACAAGGUCUAAGUAGAAGAUGAUGAUGAGUGUUUGCAGAGCGUCGGCUCGGAAUAGUUCCAAUCAUGAGAAAAGUAAAGCUUUGUUCUCGUUCUUCUUCAGUGGUAGUAGAAUGUUAAAAUCACGACAAGAGAAGAGUAAUACCCCCUGUAGUAUUUCCGCGUCGUCAAAAGAUGAACAAGCGUAUCAACAGUCGAACACCGAGAGCAAAUUGCUCCCGAAUUCCAAGCUGGAGUAUUACUAAAACGAAGGGGACCAGUACAUAUCAUGGCGCCCAAAAAAAAAAAGGAAAAAACCCAACCAUUUCGACAUAUAAAUAAAUAAAUAAAAGAAUCCAAUUCCAUUGAAAUCAAAUUCAUUCAAUGAUCCGAAACAGAGAAAUGGGAGCACAUGACGCUGCCUAAAACUAGGAAAGGCGUUAAUGACCCAAUCAAGAGCCAGAUUAGCAAAAUUCCAACCACUCCUAGUACUGGGGAAAAAAAGGCGAGAGGAUUAAGGGAGGCUCGCGUGACGCGGCCGGCAACGCGGCGGAGAGGGUGUACAAGCGGACAACGGAGGCGCCACCUGCCCCCGCCCACCCGCCCGCCGCCGCCGUGUUUCUGGAGGAGGACGGAGCCGCGGGACCGGGACCUCCCGGCCGGCCGUCCAAACCGAACCACCCCCACCAGCGCGGCACACCCCAAACCGCCGACCGGUGGCCCCGCCUGUCAGCCAGGCCCCCGCUCGCCUCGUGCAUUUAUUGGCAACCUCCUCGCUGACAUCACCCGCGCCGUUUCCCCACGCACGCACGCACGCACGGCUGGCUGGCUGCCUGCCCGCCCGCCCUGCCGUGUGGCGCGGGCAGGUGGGGGUGAGUGGAUGGCAGGUGGGCCUGCGCCGUGCGGGGACCUCCGGUCAGAAAGGCGUUUUCGGGUGAAAAAAAAGGGAAAAAGAGAAAGGUGGUUUCGCCGUACGCGCUGAGGAAGCGAGAGAUCUCGCUUUCUUUCUUCCUCCCGCGGGUUUUUUUUGCGUCCAGCCCCCCGGAAACUGGGUGAAUUCACGGUCGCCUCCCUGGGACGGACCCGACCCGGCCCCUGCCCUGCCCCUCUCUCUCUCCUCCCAGCUGCUGCGCUGUAACCGAGGAAGGGAGGGAGGGAGGGAGGGGAGGAGAGAGAAAUAACGGACGCCACCUCCUCCCCCUCGCUCGCUUCCUCCUCCUCUCUCUCUCUCCCCUGCUUCUUCUUCCCCUUCCAUUCCCAACGAGGCAACGACUCGCCAGCCUGCCUGCCUGCCUGCCCGCCCUUCCUCACCCUCGCACCCGCGGCGGCGCGGAGGGCCGGACCCCAAACCCUAACCCUAGCGGCCCGGGCGCCACCUCCGGUCCCGCCCGGCCGCGAUGGGGCAGUGCUACGGGAAGGCGGGGGGAGGCGGGUCGUCGCGGGCGGACCACGACGACGACCCGGCGGGGGCGGGGGCGGUCGCGCCGCCGUCCCCGCUACCGGCCAACGGCGCGCCGCAGGCGCCGCCGCUGCCCGCCACGCCCAGGCGCCGCAAGUCCGGAUCGACCACGCCGGUGCACCACCAGGUGGCCACGCCCGGCGGGGGCGGCGGCGCCUGGCCCAGCCCCUACCCCGCCGGUGGGGCUAGCCCGCUCCCCGCGGGCGUGUCGCCGUCGCCCGCCCGCUCCACGCCACGGAGGUUCUUCAAGCGGCCCUUCCCGCCGCCCUCGCCCGCCAAGCACAUCAAGGCCACGCUCGCCAAGCGGCUCGGCGGGGGAAAGCCCAAGGAGGGCACCAUACCGGAGGAGGGUGGCGUUGGCGCCGGCGCCGGCGCGGCCGUCGGGGCUGCUGAUUCCGCCGAGGCCGAGCGCCCGUUGGACAAGACGUUUGGCUUUGCCAAGAACUUUGGGGCCAAGUACGACCUCGGGAAGGAGGUCGGGAGGGGCCACUUUGGCCACACCUGCUCCGCCGUCGUCAAGAAGGGCGAGUACAAGGGCCAUACCGUUGCCGUCAAGAUCAUCUCCAAAGCUAAGGUGAGGGGAUCAUACAUAGCUCUGGGGGGUAUGCUCAUGUCAAAUUCCACUUUUGGGAAAUUUUGAAAUUUCAAAUACUAGCUCUUGCUCUUCUGUCAGGUAACCGGUAUGUGUUCGCGCCAAUUCUGCACUAGUAACCGAAACUUAGGUGGUUAAAUGGUCUGAAUUUUGCGUGCUGAAGGAUACUUUAGGGAUUACCUAUUUCAAUUUUGGAAUUUUGCUCUUAAGUUGUUUGGCAUUGGUGGCUUGUUGUACAAAGUAACAUAGGGAAUUCCAGGAUUUUGCAUGGUACUUGACUAGUUGUAUUUUAGCGAUAUGUUCUCUAGCGCGAUAUCUUCCCCUUUUUUUUGUCGUUUUAGGAUUUUUAUUACUUGAGACAGUAGGGUUGUGCCAUGAAAGUUUAGCAUUUACUGUCCCAUUGUUCAAUCCCGUUAACAUGACUGCAGUUACUCCGCUAGAUAGUUAGGCUGGCGAGAGUAAAUUGUCCUUUUUUUUUGGUCGUGAUACUGAGUAGAGGUUUUGACAGUUCUCGACAGGUUCGGUUGAUGUUGUAAAUCAUGCUAAUCUUAUUUUUUGUGGGGGUCAAUGGGAAGGGAAUGCAUGUAGGAACUUUAGGAUCUCGAAUAGUACAGUGAUUGAAAUUCUUGGUGGCUUACCCAAUUCUUGUUUGUUGUUAAUGAUAAACAAUAGAGGGCAUAUCCUGAUCUAUGCUUUCAUUCCCCCUUCUUGUUUGGUGAAGGUCUGUGCAUUUUCUAGCUGGAUUCUGUGGCACUUUAGGAAAACCUAGUUGAUUGUGCUUGUCCUGUUAAUGCAUUGCAAUUACUAGGAGUGCAUGUGUGGAAAAACUUAAAAGCGAAGAAAGUUCUCAUGGAGGAGCCUAGAUUUGAUUAAGAUGCCCAAGCCCCAGAGGAGAUAGCAUUGCAUAAACGAGACAAUAAGAAUGCCUUACAUUGCAUUACUAUUAUUAUCAGGAGACAUUUCUUCAUGAAGGAAGGAUAUUGGACUGGUUAGCUAGAUCAAAGAGCUGAUAAUUUAAUAGCUUAUAGAAAUUUAAAGAUUUAACUAAUGUAGCAUUUGAUCUAUUUUUAUGGGGGUAUGAAGUUCCCAGAACGCCACCACUAAAUUUCGUUGUCUCAUCCAGAUCUGCAUGGAAAAAGGAAAUCAUUCAUUCUUGUUGCUGAUAUAAGCAAUUUACUCCAUAAAUAUCUGUUGCCUUGAUCUGUGGCGAAGCUAGGUCUAAAUUUAUGGUGGUGCGUAGCUAAAGAGACAUUCAUAGUUUAGUAGAAAUACAUGGUAAAAAAUUGUCUAGCUAGUGGAAAAAAAUUUCUUACCGUGGUGCAUUGGCACCAGGCAAGCUGUACGUAGCUUCGCCACUGGCCUUGAUUAUCAUUUGGCUAUGCUUUGUGAUGCUUUCUUCUCUUCAAAUUCUUUCCAUGUUAAUGUAGAAAUACUUACAUUUUUCUUUCUAUGGAUGAUGUUAAUAUUGCCCCUACUUCUGACUGAAAUGAAAUACCAUCUUUUGGUUUUGGUAGAUGACAACAGCCAUUUCCAUUGAAGAUGUUCGUAGGGAGGUCAAGAUUUUGAAAGCUCUAUCAGGGCACAAUAAUCUCGUCAAAUUCUAUGAUGCAUGUGAGGACGCCCUCAAUGUCUACAUUGUCAUGGAGUAUGUUUUUUUGUGACCUUUUGUAUGUGACUUUAUAGACUUAAAAUUCAGAAAUACUAGAUUAGGAUUCUCUAGAUACAACAUUUGAUCACUGACUUCUGCUGGCACACAUUAAAAACUGAUCUUCCAUGGCUGGGUAUUUUCUUAGAUCACUCACUGCUAACCAUAUCCUUCAAUGUGUACACAAUAUAGUAGUUGUAUCUAGCACAGUGCAUAAAUGCUCUUCAAUGCAACUAAUGUAAUAGUAAUACCUAUGACCUAUCGGAUGGUAAUUUCUUCAAAUUGUUUCUUUUGAACAGAUUAUGUGAAGGUGGAGAGUUGCUAGAUAGGAUUUUAGCCAGGUACUUUUUACUACAUAGUAUAUUCAUCUCUAGUAUCCGAGUAGCAGUAUCUCUUGUUAAUGCUUACCAAGGAUGCAAACUUGAACUAUUGAAGAGGUGGGAGAUAUACAGAAGAAGAUGCCAAAGCGAUUGUUGUACAGAUUUUGAGCGUAGUGGCCUUCUGUCAUCUUCAGGGAGUAGUGCACCGUGAUUUGAAGCCAGAGGUAUGCUUGAACCACUUUGUGUAUAGUUUGUAUAUAUGUGCGGUUCAGUAGGUGUUUGACUGGGGUUACUUCUGCAUCUUGUUAACUGCAUUGCUGUUUUUUGUUUUCAAGUGACAGCAAUAAUGCUUGUUUUGAAAGCUAGGCUGCCUUUUGUGACACAAUUGCUAUAUUUCAUUGGCACAGAAUUUUCUUUUCACGACAAGAGAUGAAAGUGCUCCUAUGAAGUUGAUUGACUUUGGUCUGUCUGAUUUUAUUAGACCAGGUAAUGUACUCAUAUUUAUCUCUUUACAUGGCCCAUGUGUUUACAGUUAUUUCUGCUCUUGUAAUUAAAAGUCAUUACUUUGUUGAAAGGUUAAUUCUAGUUUUCUAAUGUGGAAUUGGAUAAGCAGCAUCAAUUUCUCAGUAAGCAGCUUAAAUAACAGCAUUUGGAAAGGUGUUAGUCUGAACACGGUUUGUUAAUAAACCUAAGUUUAGGUGAACUUCUUACAAUAGAAAUCGGGCAAUGCGGUGUUAGUAUCAGCAUUUUUGGUUGCUCAGGGUCAAGGAUUUCAUCAUGCAAGUUUGGACCGGAUGUACUUCAUGUUAUGGUUUUGCUUUUCCAUACCUUUGUUCUACUUCGUAGUGUGUCCCAGUUAGCUCUUAUGCUGAACAAACAAAUGUUUGUCAUAUGCUGCAUUUUGAUGAUUGGCAGGCGCAAAAUAAUAUGAAAAAAUUUGAAAAAUCUGAACACAACUAACCAAGGAAAUUGCAUUUUUUUUAUUUGUGCAGAAAGCAUCUGCUUGUUAGUCUUGCGUUUUAAUUGUUUAGCGUGCAUACAUGCUAGGAUCAUUGUGUGUCAUAUUCCAGAUAAAUAGUGCAUACAUUUGUAUAUGACUAUUUGUUUUUUGCAGGUUUCUUUACGUUUGGUAGUUGGAAUACACUGUCAAUGUUUAUAGUUAAUCAUUUUUUUCUGCUCACUCAUAUGUGUUCUGUGCUAUGUAUUGCAGAUGAAAGGCUCAAUGAUAUUGUUGGAAGUGCAUAUUAUGUUGCUCCGGAGGUUCUACACAGAUCGUACAGUAUGGAAGCAGACAUUUGGAGUAUAGGUGUCAUAACAUACAUUCUUCUGUGUGGCAGUAGGCCAUUUUGGGCAAGGACAGAAUCUGGGAUCUUCCGGUCUGUGUUGAGGGCUGAUCCCAACUUUGACGAUUCACCAUGGCCUUCAGUAUCUGCUGAAGCUAAGGAUUUUGUGAAGAGAUUUCUGAACAAGGACUACCGAAAAAGAAUGACUGCUGUCCAAGCACUGAGUAAGUCACCACAUAUGUGUAUUUUGUGUUGCCCCGUGAUUUUGAUAUCACAAUAUCUCACUUCGCUUUUUGUACUUUAAGCAGAUUUUAUUAACAUCUAUUUUUACUUUUUUAGGAACUGCUAGUUAAAAACAUUAUAUGACAUGAUAAUGAAACAAAGUUGAAUUUACUUUUCCCUUACCUGUUUGCAGCUCACCCUUGGUUACGAGAUGAACAAAGACAGAUUCCAUUGGACAUACUCAUUUUCAGAUUAGUUAAGCAAUAUCUUCGUGCUACUCCUCUUAAACGUUUGGCAUUAAAGGUACAGUACAGACUUCAUGGCCUUUUCUGUAUUUGUAAGCAUUCUUUCUAUUCUUCAUUGAUCUUUGUUGAUACAGCAAUAUGCAACUGAUAGAUGUACAUGUGCUAGAUGUGCUAAAAGAGGCCACAUGAUGGCUGUUUAACCCUCCAAACAGUAGAAGUUACAGAAGAUGGGUUCAUUAGUGGUGUAUGUUUCUAUUUGCAAUGUUUUUUAGGUGUUUAUAUUUUAUUUUCCUUUGUGAUCCUGUACCUUUUCAAUUUAUUAUGAGAGGCUGGUGUUGCUGAUCAUAAUAUUGCUCCAAACUAUUAUGGACUUCCAUAGAAGUCAUGAAUACAAAUAUGUUCAUAGUGGCAAAUUGUAGUGUAACUGACAACCAGCAAAGUACUGCUCAUUAAUGUAGUUAUGUGUGUAGUAACACUUAAUAUUAUUCCUUGUCACAGGCACUAUCAAAGGCUUUAAGGGAGGAUGAACUUUUGUAUCUUAGAUUGCAGUUUAAGCUGCUUGAACCCAGAGAUGGGUUUGUAUCACUCGACAACUUUCGGACAGUACGUUAUUUGUUGUUGCCAAUUGCCUCAUCAUUAUGAAGACAUGUCAAAAGCAGAACACUUGCUCAUGUCUUCCUUUGCGCAUUAUGUUCAUGUUCUAACUUCUGAACUCCCAUGGUGUAACCAGGCUCUGACAAGAUAUUUAACUGAUGCUAUGAGAGAAUCAAGGGUUCUUGAGUUUUUGCAUGCGGUAAGGAUUCAUCAGUAUGCCCCUAAGCAAAGGAUUAUACUGUGAUACUUAUCAUAUCCGUCUGUAGGGAUAUCGAUAGAAAUUUUCCAUAUGAUUAUCUUUAACUGUAAUGUUGAAACAAUGCCUUAGCUCAAUUCUGAGCUGAUGCUGUGAUGUUUCAGACCUGUUGCUUAAAUCCUUUAUUUUAGAACUUUUGCAUCUUGUGAUUUUUAUUGCCAGUAAUUAUUGUAUUGAUGGUUGAAGUUGCUGACCUUCUCAUGUUUCUAUCUCAGCUGGAACCACUUGCGUACAGAAAGAUGGACUUUGAAGAAUUCUGUGCUGCAGCAAUCAGCCCAUACCAGCUCGAGGCUUUGGAAAGGUGGGAAGAAAUUGCUGGAACAGCUUUUCAGCACUUCGAACAAGAGGGCAACCGAGUUAUAUCGGUUGAAGAGUUGGCACAGGUAUUCAGUGGAUGUGCUUAUCCUUUGGAUCAACAUUUUCAGCAUGUGCACUUGGAUACAUGUGGAAGAUCAUCACCUUAUCGUCGGCAUAAUUGAGUACCCUGACUUUUUUCAUUGUGUGUAGGAACUAAAUCUCGCGCCAACUCAUUACUCCAUCGUGCAAGAUUGGAUCAGAAAGUCGGACGGCAAGCUUAACUUUCUUGGGUUUACCAAAUUUUUGCAUGGUGUCACAAUACGGGGCUCAAAUACAAGACGACACUAAACGGUUGCAAAUUGUAUUCGCUUCUAAUUUAAAGCCUCUCAUCAAUUAUAUGGCCCUGAUUGCUGUUACCCCUACCUCCUGCUUGCCCUGCCCCUUCGUCUGGUCAAUGACCAUUCUUGUUUGUGAUGUCGCCGGUUGUUGUCGUCAUAGCUUUUGUAGAGUACAUGUAAAGAUCCUUGUAAUGGCGAAAUCAUAUGGUUUGCUCAAGAAAUAUAGUGUCAUUUGUUCUUUUUGGCUCACCAGUUUUGAACCAUUAUUAUCCGUGGAUAGUCUUUUGUCGACUUGGUGCUUAAGUUGUUAGCGUUGCUCAGCUAAAUAACAUUUCAGGCACCUGUAAGGCUGUAACUCCCCGCUGUACUUGUUUUGUAUGCACAUACAUUAUUGGCGUAAAUUAGUUGUACAUUAUCAGCUUAUAACUGGGUUAUAGAGAAAUGCCAGAUAUGUUUCCAUUUCAGAAUUCAGGUCACAUGUUACUAGUAGACGGUUUGGAACGAGGAUCUUGCUUUAUUAGAUAUCAAGAGUUAACCCAGAAUAAACAAAUAUCUAUCUAAGGCCUUGUUUAGUUCAUCCCAAAAACAAAACAAAAAAAUCAAAUGUUUCGCCACAUCGAAUCUUGCACCAUAUGCAUGGAGCAUUAAAUGUUGUCAAAAACCAAAACUAAUUACACAGUUUAACUGUAAAUCACAAGAUGAAUCUUUUGAGCCUAGUUAGUUCAUGAUUGGAUAAUAAUUGCCAAAUUAAAACGAACAUGCUACAGUACCAAAACCAAAAAAUUUUGAAAACUAAACAAGGCCUAAGUUCUAUUGUUUUUGUUUUUGGCAGAUGGCCUUUCAUAUACUAGUUCUUUUUGUAAAUAUAUGAAUUAGGUAUAAUGUAUAAGAUGCCUAUAAUUCCUGUAUAAUAACGUAUAAGAUGUUUGAGGGCGUCUUUUCUUAAAAAAAUAAUACUUAUGAAUAAAUAUCAAUGAAAUAUAUUUUAUAGUAUCUUUAUUUGAAGUUAUAAAUGUUAAUAGUAUUUUUUUAGAAAUUUAUUUAGAUUUAAAAAAUUCAUUCAAAUUUAAUCCAGAAUUAUAUAUGUUGUGUGUGUGGGGGGGUGGGGGGGGGGGUAUGGAACUAUAAAUUUGAUGAAGAAUGGCUAGAAAGAAAUAUCUUUUUUUUCGCUGGGGUAGAAAGAAGAGGGAGGCCCUCAUGGUCUCCCCUCACCGGCUACAUUUAGGGAUGUAAAAAAGGUUCUGUCUAGUUUUUAAUUUUUAUCCUACUCAUUUCCGUAUUUGUAGGAUUUUAUUUUCAUAUAUACGGAAACAGAAGGGGUAGGGUUCUUGUUUGUUUUUGUGGAAUUUCGUUUUUCUUGGGAUAAACUUGUAUUUAUUCUGUUUCCAAAUUAUGUGGGAUAUACCUAAGAAGUACUAAAUGUCAUUGUAUUAUGUUAAUAAAAUCUACUAAUAAUGAAUUUUACAUAUUAAUGUGCUAACAUACAUGGCAUGCAAAUUAGUACUAAACCAAUCUUCAUAUGUUUACAUUGUUGUUUCACUUUAUCAUACAUGUAUACUUGAGCAUAUUAGAUCGUGUGAUUCUAAUUUAAUUUUCUGGCUCUCCAUCCAUAUUAGUUCGGUUCCGUAUAUCCGCAUAUCUCUUUUCUGACCCCCCGACUUUUCUUGACUUGAUUGAUCAUGAAGAAGGCAGUGUUUUUUUUUUUUGCCCGUUUGGUUUGUUUUCAUCCCUGGCUACUACAUUCAUGUCUCUGGUGCCACUGCAUGACACAAAAUCUCAAUUCAUUUUCGGCCUGGCUGGCUUUGAAUGGGCUUACUUGGAAGCGGGAAAUAGCCCAGCAGGACACGCGCGUGCUAGCCUGCAUUUUACUUGCUUCUGGUUCACGGGCCGAACUGGGCCUAAUUUCUCACAGAAGUUAUUAUCAGAUAAUAUAAGUACUCCUUCUACUAAAGAAAAAAAGAUAAUUAGUACUCCUAAUUCUCCAAAACAAAGAUAAUAAAUAAUUGUCGUUUUACCAUAAGUAUAUAUAUAGUCAAAGUUAUUUUUCAGAAAGCGAUGAUCAUAACUACUCCCUCUAUUCAAAAUUAUAAGACGUUCUGUUUUUUAGAUGUAUAAUUUUUGCUAUAUACUUAGAUAUACACUAUGGGCAUGUUUGGUUCCCCUUGCUAAAUUUUACCUAACUAAAAUAUUUUAGCUUUUUUUAGUCAAUGUGUUUGGAAGUUUACCUACUAAAGUGAUUAAAGUUUAGCUGACUAAAAUUUAGCAAGGGGAACCAAACAAACUCUAUAUCUUGAUCUACAUAGUUAAAGUAAUAUCUAGAAAAGCCAAGGCUUAGAGCAAGAGGAAGUGCUAUACUAGAGUACCCACUAAAAUCCUGUGACCUUGUUCCCACGAGAUAUUUCUGCUUGACAACUGAACUUGCAGCACUCUGCAGCUGCAUCGUUUCCGCUUUAGUUGUCAGCCACAUCCGUUGCCAUCUUGGCAUCCAUCCUUCUCUGGCUCUGUUGAUCCAAAGUUCCAAACCCUUUGCUGGUGACGGACGCCUAACUCCCUUGUGAUGCUGUUGCUGUGUUGCAGUUGCUGCCAGACACCAAUGAUCAUCCAUUCAUCCAUUCAUCUUAUAUGUAUUAACAAAUUGCUAUCGGGCUAUGGCCCAACCAGCCAACCAGGCAGACAGGGACUGACGCCAUUGCUUCAAGUGCUGCCCUGCCCUGCCCUGCCCUGCCCGUUUCAGUCGCUGAAUGCAUCAAGCCGAGCGCGAGCAAUUCCAGGCACAUCCACAUCCACUGACCUCCAAUGGACAGUACUACUGGACUGAGGGUUUCCUUCCUGUACAUCCAGGGAGUAGCUCUCUCGCUGUCAGUGUCACACCCGCUGGCUGCCGCAUGCAGUUUCCUUGCCGGGCGAUCGAAAAACGAACUCAACUUGGCCCUCUCGCCCCCGUGGGCGUGGGCCGGCCGGGCGUCCUGAUCACGGUCACCGCCAUGGCGUUUUCACGGGCUGCGGGCAGAAACCCGCCGGAAUCCCAUUCCCAUCUAAACAGCUAGCAAUAGCAACCCCGUCCUCUCUGAAAGACUGAAACCAUUCUUGGUCUCUUUCAGGCUUUCAGCUCGUUCGAUCGAUCUGAUAGAUGUCUGAAUCUUUUCCCCGUCGUCGUCGGCGGCCGGUGAGCCACAAACAAAGACCGGCCGGCGCGGUGGACUUGUAUGGGCCGCAGCCGGCGUGUACUACAGUGCUGCCUGUGACGGCUGACGCUAUAAAGCCAGCAGACGAAUUCGUCUUCCUCCUUUCCGUUCGGCCGUUCCGGUAAUGGCAGCAGCGUGCCUAGCUGGCGUUGUCACACACAGUCUGUCAGCUACUACCUCUCACUCUCAUCUGUGUGGCUCCAAGAGAGGCGCCAUGCAUGCAUGCACCACAACUGUGGCCUAUUUUCUGGUGGCUGGCCGGAAGGCUCGGUCCUCCCGGCCUUUCGCUGUCGGCAAUCGCGGGAAUUAAAGGAAAGAUGACAUUUGGUAUGGUGCCUUUCGAGAGACACACAUGCAAGUUGUUCUCGAUCGUCCCUCGCUAGCUGGGAGCCUGGGACUGUGUAUAGCCGACCGUUGGGCAGCCAUUGUUGUUUUCAUGUAGUAAAUUAGAAGUGUAAAUACGUAGUUUUGUGACUUUCAUGGUUUCAUCUGGCUUAGAGCAUCUCUAAAUAUUUGCUAUGAUUUACUUGCUGAACCAAUAACUUUAGAAAAGUUACUUGCCAAGAAUCAAUCAAUGGAUAGCAAGUCUGCAGUUGCUCGGUGGUGCACCCUUGUAGCUUUAAUCUGGUAAAGUUUAAUUUGCUCUUAGGGCAUGUGCCCUCACUCUCCCACCCAAUGGAUUCGCUUUGAGAAGUAUGCAAACACACAUUUCAAUGCGAAACAGCUUUGAGAUGUGUGUAUUUGCACACUUCUCAAAGCGAAUCCAAUGGGUGAGAGAGUGAGGGCAUGUGCCCUUAGGGUAAAAAACCGCCUUCAAUGUAAUCUUCUUUGUUUCCUUCCUUGUUUCUUGAAAACCCUGUCCUUUGUACCUGCGUUUUUUUACUGUUCUUUCAAUAAAAUUGUUGUAGGGGUGCAAACCCCUCUAGUUUUGCCUAAAAAAAAACUUUAGAAACUUAACUAGAUAAGUUGAAACCUCUAUCCUUCUCCCUCUCCAAUAAUUUCCUAUAUGAACUCCCCUAAACAAAAAAAGAAAAAGAAAAAGAAAAAAUAACCACAUAUUUGAGGAAGUGGAAAGAUAUAUGAAAGAAGAUUUUGACUAAUUGACAGAUGGAUUCCAGUUAAUAAAGGAUGAGGUUUUCUCAAUCUGCAGCUGCAGCAGUCUUUUAUAACACAAAACUCUCAGUAGACUCGGUCUAUCCAAAAAGGAAAGGAGUAUAUAACACAAAACUCUCAGGAGAAUAAGAGAGAUCUAUAUGUGCCAUAUACGCAUACGCUUUGCCAUGCCAACUUGCCAAGGCAUAUCCGGAUAUCCAUCCACAUCCCAAAUAAAGCGGCUAAGCCUGGCAUCGAUGCUAAUUGCAUAGUCUGAUGAAAGUCUGAAACGGAAACCACUGGAAGGCAACUGUAAUGAAAGUUCAGCUGUCUGGUCUUCACUAUCUCCUGCUAGAGCGCCAAAGUCAGCAGCACAACAGUAGAGAACAACAUGCAAACGCAAAGCAUCUCUGUAUGUCAAAUUCGAAAGCGAAAAUUUAUCGAUUGGCUCGCGUGCGGUUCUGAAAAUUGUUCUAAUGUGAGAGACCAAGUUGUACUUGCCAACAAGAAUGAAUCAUGCUUCAACUUGCGACGCUGAUGCUCUUGGACCAUUGCGCAAAGUCUUGGGCAUGCAUGCAUACGCCAUACAUGAUACAUGCCAAACGGCGACCCUAGAAAAGCAGCCUAGCACAUCCAAAGAGCUAGCAUCAUCUGAACCAAUGCAUUAUGUAUGUCUGUAUGAACACUGAUCCUAUGGGUUUAUGGAUGUGGUCAUUCAGUCCAUGUCCAUGACGAAGACAUCUGUUGCAAUUUCAACUCUGGAAUAAUCCAGUUUCGCUCCUUGUCAACUCUAUCUUAUUAUAAUACCUAUUUAACCCAAAUUAAAGAAAUGGAAACCCCUGUUCUAUCAGCAGCUUCAUGCAUAGGUAUGUGUCUGCAAUCUUCAUAGUUUCGAUCUGCAAGUCUGCAACCGAAAUAUAUAUGAUAUUACCACAAGACAAAAUUAAGUUUACAUGUAGGCUAAGAAUAUAUAAUCCUUGCAUUGCAUUCAUUCUUUGGAUUGGUCCUUCAACUCCAAGUGGCUCCUGGCUGACGUGCGUGCGUUAAAAAGAUCCAUUCGGUCUUAUGGUUGCUACCUCUGACGGAUGCAGAAACUUGUAUUGUAGUGUGUCAGGAAAAAAGAAAACCCAUGAUGUGGAUCGAGUGAACCGGAUUUGUUUGAUGAGAAAUUGAGAAGGUGACAGGAUCAUGGAGAGGCCAUCGACGAUGGCUCGCGCGUCCUAGUCACGCCCACGUGGCAACGCUGACAGGGGCCGGGGUUUGGUUAGUCUGUUCCUUUCCCUGCCCUCCUAAUGACAUUGCCAUGCCAUCAUGACAGUUGACAUCCCAUUUCCCAAUUAAUCAUGGCAUUGCAUGUUACUUACUUAGGCAUCCAACAGUGUUGAUUGGGUACCUUUCACUCUUCAUCUUUAAUUCAUUCCUGCAAGGCUCCAUGCAUGCCCUGAUGAGCUGAGCUGAGCAACGACAGUCGGCAGCGCCUUCACACUGGCCAUUGCAUGCAUCAGAUAUUCAGAGUUCAGACUCCUCUCUCUCUCUCUCCAAUACAAUUCUGAACAUGAUGCAUGCCAGGCUGGUAGAGAGAGAGAGAGAGAGAGAGAGAGAGAGAGAGAGAGAGAGAGAGAGAGAGAGAGAGAGAGAGAGAGUUCAGAGCAGAAUCCAUAGCAGUUAGCUUAGCAAUGUCACAAGAAAUAUGUGAGGCUGAUCACUGAUGGUGUGCCUUUGUCUUGUUGCAGGGAUGGAGGAAUAUAUGGAGCUACAGCGAAGGGAUCAACAGCUGUCAACCCCAAAAUUGGUGGUCUCCAUCGGCUGCAACUGCAUGCAUGUCCAUCUUGCACGAUCUGUCCGUACGGAAAAAGGACGCCAUCCGUAUACAUGUAUCUUCCUUUCUCGAUAUGCAUGCCGGCCGAAAAGUAGUAGAGUCGAAAUAAUAGCUUGCUGUAAGGUUUUUAUAGUCUUCUUUUCAGUCUAUCCAUACAAUAGUUAGAUAUUCACUAUUAAUAAAUGACUCAUUUAUCUCUCUCAUAAAAUUUUUUAGUUUCUAUGCUUAAGCUAGCUGUAAACUUACAGCUUCUCCUCUCUCUCCUCCCUUCUUUUCUUUAACUCGGUAUUUAGCUGGCUUAAUUAUAACCCACUAUAAUACUUACUCUAAUGCUUCUUGUUCAUUCUUCAUCCCUUAAUUUAUUUAUUAUCCGACAGAUAUAUGCCAAUAUAAAUAAUGUGUGUUCUCCUAAUUAAGCCUAGUAGUCGGAAAGAUAUUUUUGAGUACAUGUAUCAUGGGCUCACGGUUUGCAUGUUAGGUCUUGUUUGGC